AAAAAAAGACCAUGUAUGUGUCCCCAGGGCUAGUUCUUUCCCUAGGUCUGGCUUUACAAAUACUUUU